rnacentral:rRNA from 1 species
GACGAACGCUGGCGGCAUGCUUAACACAUGCCAGUCGAACGGAAACGCCCGGCUAUUGUGGGUGGCUCGAGUGGCAAGCGGGUGAGUAACACGUGAGUAACCUGCCCUGGACUUUGGGAUGACUUCAGGGAAACGCGGAUACUACCGGCUAGCAGCUCCUGCUACCUGGGGGGGGUUGGAACGUGCACGCGGGUGGGGGUGGACGCGCGGCUUAUCAGCUGGUUGGUGGGGUAGUGGCUUACCAAGGCUUUGACGGGUGGCCGGCCUGAGAGGGGGACCGGCCACAAUGGGCCUGAGAUACGGCCCAGACUGCUACGGGAGGCAGCAGUGGGGAAUCUGGCACAACGGGCGCAAGCCUGAGGCAGCAACGUCGGGUGCGGGAUGACGGCUUUCGGGGUGUAAACCGCUUUCGCCUGAGACGAAGCGUGAGUGACGGUAACGGGUGAAGAAGCACCGGCUAACUACGUG